AGCAGUAACACCCGCUCCUGCAGUCUACCAACCCCCAGUACACCGUACCCCAGCCGCACCACCAGCUAACAAUUAUAUGCAACCAGCCCGAUUUAAUGCCCGGGAGUACUCCCAACCCAUCCGGUGCUAUGGGUGCAAGCAGUUGGGGCACAAGCGUCCUGAGUGCCCACUGAACAGUGCCAACCAGGCUCAGUCCUGGAGGAGACCAGUUAAUGGAAACCAGCGCCCACCUCAGCCUGCUGCUCACUGCCUAGAGCAAGAGGAAUUUUGGGGCAUUCUACACGAGGCAGACCCAGUGCAAGCAGCUCACCAGGAUAAUCGCCAGCAACAUCGGCAAACUGUGAAGCUGAAUGGCAGAGUGGUGAAUGGGCUGAGAGACACAGGAG